CCUACGGGGGGCAGCAGUGGGGAAUAUUGGACAAUGGGGGGAACCCUGAUCCAGCGACGCCGCGUGAGUGAAGAAGUAUUUCGGUAUGUAAAGCUCUAUCAGCAGGGAAGAAAGAAAUGACGGUACCUGACUAAGAAGCCCCGGCUAACUACGUGCCAGCAGCCGCGGUAAUACGUAGGGUGCAAGCGUUAUCCGGAUUUACUGGGUGUAAAGGGAGCGUAGACGGCGAUGCAAGUCUGAAGUGAAAGGCGGGGGCCCAACCCCUGGACUGCUUUGGAAACUGUAUGGCUGGAGUGCAGGGGAGGUAAGUGGAAUUCCUAGUGUAGCGGUGAAAUGCGUAGAUAUUAGGAGGAACACCAGUGGCGAAGGCGGCUUACUGGACUGUAACUGACGUUGAGGCUCGAAAGCGUGGGGAGCAAACAGGAUUAGAUACCCUUGUAGUC
rnacentral:rRNA from 1 species